rnacentral:lncRNA from 1 species
UUCAAUCAUUUUUCCCCACAAAAAGGGGGCUGGCCCCCUGAAAAACCUCUAAAUCCGCCUCUGAUACAUGUAAUACCUUCACUAGAAUGUCUUAAUAAAUUUUAGUAAAAUCAAUUUGGUCAGAAAAAACGAAAGUUUACAAUGGUCAAUUAACCAGGAAUAAACAUUAAUACACAUAGUUUAUAUGUAUAUGAAAUGCUUAUUUACCUGAAUCAGCCUUUAGGGAAAACGUCACUAAAAAUGAGCACUGGUACGCUUACUACUACGGUAACAGAAUUAUUGCAUACAAAUGCGUAGUUCGUCAACCGUUCUUUUUAUUUACCUUAUUCCCCUUAGCAACGCACACAGGUAUAAA